CUCUCUCUCGGCGUGCGUGCUCUCGAGCAGUGCCUUGAUCGAUCGGGCCUUUGAGGUGGCUCACUUUUUCUUUUUGAUCGGAAGGUGUUGAGAUACUUCGGAAAAGAUGGCCAUAACUAGAGGAAGAAGAAAUAUGGAAAGACAGUGAAGGAAGCUCACGAGAGGCUCAAGGCUGGGAGUGUUGAUGUGCUGCAUUGCUACUAUGCCCAUGGAGAAGAAAAUGAAAAUUUCCAAAGUCGAAGCUAUUGGUUGCUUGAGGACUUCUUGUGCAUGUACAGGCAUAAGUCCAGUCCUCUGAUACUAUUUAGCAUUGAAUAAACAUCAAUUGCUGAGUACAAUCUGGUUCGUUAGUUAUAUCUGCUGCUGGAACAGUUUUGCUGCUUUGGAAGUCCCAUUACCUUUUUCUGUGAGGGAAAAAAGAUAAAAUAUGGGAGCGCUCAAACAUUGUUUGUGUACACUACCACGAAGUAAAGGGUUUGGUGAGAGCCAUGGAAAUGUAGACUACAAGCCAAAUGCAUUCUCAAUCAAUUGAUCUCAAACCCUAACUGAUCUCUACACGCUCCUCUGUAUCGAUUCAUUUUUUCGGAGGUCUGGUAGAUCACUAGACAAGUCGAUUUCAAUGCUUCAGAUGGAGCUGGCUGCUACUCGAAGUUCUCAAGAGAUGAGGAGAUCUGAUGAGUUCACUCACAUCUCUGAAUUGACUAUGAGGGCUUGCCAAGGAAGAAGGCUUUCAUAGUUAUUGGAAUUAAUACUGCUUUUAGUAGUAGGAAGAGGCGUGAUUCGAUUAGACAAACUUGGAUGCCUCAAGGAGAGAGACUUCUUCAAUUGGGAACAAGAGAAGGGAAUUAUCAUCCGGUUCAUGAUCGGCCAUAGUGCAACAUCUAACAGCAUACUAGAUCGAGCUAUUGAUUCAGAAGAUUCUUAGCAUAAGGACUUCCUCAGGCUGGAGCACGUUGAAGGGUAUCAUGAAUUGUCUACAAAAAUCAAAAUUUUCUUCUCCACUGCUGUUGCAAAAUGGGAUGCUGAUUUCUAUGUUAAAGUGGAUGAUGAUGGUUAUUGAGUUUGCCAUGGCUUUGCAGGAAGCUGGGUGCUUUUUUGUUGUUUUGGAAUGUGUGCUUGCACUUGUUGCUGCUGCUGCAACAUUUGCUCUUCGAAUCCUUACAAUUGGUAUUGGGGUAGGGCCUUUCUGUAUUGGCCAAGUUAAUUGAUUCUUUAGCUCUCUCUACUGCUCCUAAUAAUGAAUUAGACUUGACUGGCUUGUGUUGUGUAUAAUCUUUUUGCUUUCAUUUGUACAUAUAAUUUGCUAUCUGAUCUUGUAAUUUGUUUUUCAAGUACUAAAGCGGGCAUUUUAGUGAUAUUAUGUGUUCAGAUAUUGAGUUUACUCAUGUAAUGAACUUUGAAUUUGCUUUUCUUCU